AUUCCAGCUCCAAUAGCGUAUAUUAAAGUUGUUGCAGUUAAAAAGCUCGUAGUUGGAUUUCUGGUUUGAUGCCCUGGCCCGCUGCUAUUUUGGUAGUGUGUGCCGGUUGUGCGUCUGCCAUCCUUCUAGGGAACGUUCCUUCUCUUCACUGAGCCGGGUUCGUGAUCUAGAUCGUUUACUUUGAAAAAAUUAGAGUGUUUAAAGCAGGCUUUUGCUAUGAAUACAUUAGCAUGGAAUAAUAAUCUAGGACUUCGGUCAUAUUUUGUUGGUUUCUGUAACUGAAGUAAUGAUUGAUAGGGAUAGUUGGGGGUGCUAGUAUUGAGCGGCCAGAGGUGAAAUUCUUGGAUUCGCUCAAGACUAACUUAUGCGAAAGCAUUCACCAAGGAUGUCUUCAUCA
rnacentral:rRNA from 1 species